AGAGUUUGAUCCUGGCUCAGGACGAACGCUGGCGGCGUGCUUAACACAUGCAAGUCGAACGGAAAGGCCCUUCGGGGUACUCGAGUGGCGAACGGGUGAGUAACACGUGGGUGAUCUGCCCUGCACUUUGGGAUAAGCCUGGGAAACUGGGUCUAAUACCGAAUAGGACCACGCGCUUCAUGGUGUGUGGUGGAAAGCUUUUGCGGUGUGGGAUGGGCCCGCGGCCUAUCAGCUUGUUGGUGGGGUAAUGGCCUACCAAGGCGACGACGGGUAGCCGGCCUGAGAGGGUGACCGGCCACACUGGGACUGAGAUACGGCCCAGACUCCUACGGGAGGCAGCAGUGGGGAAUAUUGCACAAUGGGCGCAAGCCUGAUGCAGCGACGCCGCGUGAGGGAUGACGGCCUUCGGGUUGUAAACCUCUUUCAAUAGGGACGAAGCGUGAGUGACGGUACCUAUAGAAGAAGCACCGGCCAACUACGUGCCAGCAGCCGCGGUAAUACGUAGGGUGCGAGCGUUGUCCGGAAUUACUGGGCGUAAAGAGCUCGUAGGUGGUUUGUCACGUUGUCCGUGAAAACUCACAGCUUAACUGUGGGCGUGCGGGCGAUACGGGCAGACUGGAGUACUGUAGGGGAGACUGGAAUUCCUGGUGUAGCGGUGGAAUGCGCAGAUAUCAGGAGGAACACCGGUGGCGAAGGCGGGUCUCUGGGCAGUAACUGACGCUGAGGAGCGAAAGCGUGGGGAGCGAACAGGAUUAGAUACCCUGGUAGUCCAA
rnacentral:rRNA from 1 species